rnacentral:lncRNA from 1 species
AUUUUCCUUGCUAUCAUGCUGGAAUGCUUUAGAAGGAUCAAAGUGCCUAAUGCCCUGAAUUGUAUAUAGUUGCUCCUGCAGAUCUCUGUUUGUUUGUUUCUCUUUUGCAAGAAGUGCACGCAGUUUUGAGAUGUCCUGAAGAAAACAAUACUCAGAAGUUAGAUUAAAAAAAAGAAGGAAAGAUGCCUCUGUAUAUUGUGUAUCCAACACCAACAGAUGCCCUUGCUGUUCUGGAGACUGAUGACUUACUCUAAUGCAGCUCAUGCAGGGAAAUUAACAACUAUGGAAAGCAGUGAGUUUGCAGAAUUAGCCUCCAAGUAUCUGCAGGAUUUAGCAGAAGAAAGCAAUCAAGCAAGCAACUGAAUUCUCCAUUUUUUGACUUCUUAUUUGACAAACCUGCUGCAGAUAGGACAGAUGAAGACCAGCUUUACUGUUGUGCUUUAUUGAAUGGACAGCUCCCAGCCAUUGUGAUGAGAAGGAGAUUGAGAAAGCAUCAGACAUACACAUCUCUUCAGCUACAUAACAACACAUUAACCUCUUCAAUGCAGCUGGGCUCACAAAGCUUCUUCCUAUAUCAUAAGUACUAAUAAACUGAAUUACUC